rnacentral:tRNA from 1 species
GGUCUUUUAGUUUAAAAAAAACAUUAAAUUGCAAAUUUAAAAAUGGUGUAUAUCUAAGACUU